GGACCCGCACAAGUAGUGGAGCAUGUGGUUUAAUUCGAAGAUACGCGCAGAACCUUACCAACACUUGACAUGUUCGUCGCGACUCUGAGAGAUCAGAGUUUUCGGUUCGGCCGGACGAAACACAGGUGCUGCAUGGCUGUCGUCAGCUCGUGUCGUGAGAUGUUGGGUUAAGUCCCGCAACGAGCGCAACCCUCACUUUUAGUUGCCAUCAUUAAGUUGGGCACUCUGAAAGAACUGCCAGUGAUAAGCUGGAGGAAGGUGGGGAUGACGUCAAGUCCUCAUGGCCCUUACGUGUUGGGCUACACACGUGCUACAAUGGUAUCUACAACAGGAAGCAAGACUGCGAAGUUAAGCAAAUCCCUAAAAGCCGUCCCAGUUCGGAUUGUACUCUGCAACUCGAGUGCAUGAAGUUGGAAUC
rnacentral:rRNA from 1 species